CACACUGGAGGAGCAAUUACCCUUGCUGUGUUCACUUUAUUUGUGACUAACCACACAAGGACGGUUCCUUUUUGGGUAUC
rnacentral:pre_miRNA from 1 species